rnacentral:rRNA from 1 species
UGGGGAAUAUUGGACAAUGGGCGAAAGCCUGAUCCAGCCAUGCCGCGUGUGUGAAGAAGGUCUUCGGAUUGUAAAGCACUUUAAGUUGGGAGGAAGGGCUGCUGGUUAAUACCCUGCAGUUUUGACGUUACCAACAGAAUAAGCACCGGCUAACUUCGUGCCAGCAGCCGCGGUAAUACGAAGGGUGCAAGCGUUAAUCGGAAUUACUGGGCGUAAAGCGCGCGUAGGUGGUUGGGUAAGUUGAAUGUGAAAGCCCCGGGCUCAACCUGGGAACUGCAUCCACAACUGCCCGACUAGAGUACGGAAGAGGGUGGUGGAAUUUCCUGUGUAGCGGUGAAAUGCGUAGAUAUAGGAAGGAACACCAGUGGCGAAGGCGACCACCUGGACUGAUACUGACACUGAGGUGCGAAAGCGUGGGGAGCAAACAGGAUUAGAUACCCU